rnacentral:lncRNA from 1 species
GCAGAAUGGUAGGUUGCUACUUCCUGUUAGGUUGAGCGGUAGCUUCUGUCGUUGCUAGGCAGCGGUAGCGGCUUCCACUGAGGGAGAAGCUGUUUGCAUGAUAACUAAUGCACAAAGACUCAAAAACUGCAACAAAGUCUCUCUUUUAUCAUAAACUUUUCAAAGGCAUUGGCGAAUAAACACUGGUACCAUCCUGGCUUCAUCGAGCGACUUACGCGAAAAACUGCGUAAAAAGCGACGCACUUUGCAAGAAACGCUGUUGAAAAACAAAGAUGAGGACGACGUCCAGGAACCUGAAGGCAGUGAUGAGGACCCAGGAGAAAGACUGAGGAGGACCUUUAGGGCUCAGAGGGAAAAGUCCAAGAAAAUCAGAGAUGUGGAGGGGAUUUCCUCCAUUCAGCAGCAUAGUGCAGAUGAUGGAAGAACAGAACAGACCGAUGAGUCAGUGGUUCCUUCAAAAAGUGGGAAAUUGUCCCAGAAAGGUCUUUCCUCAAGAAAACAUCCAUCUGCGACCUCUCAACACUUAGACGAUAGUGUGACGCGUCGAUUGGAAGCAAAGCUGAGAGAAGCCAUUGUAAAGUCCUGUUUAUUUUUCUGUUGUUGUUUUUUUUCUCUUCUUUUUAUUAAAUGUUUUCAGCAUUUUUUUCCUCCUUAAAGUGUCAUGUAAAUGUGUGCAGUUAUUUUAAG